UAAGGAAUAUUGGACAAUGGAGGCAACUCUGAUCCAGCCAUGCCGCGUGAAGGAAUAAGGCCCUAUGGGUUGUAAACUUCUUUUAGACGGGACAAAACCCCUUUACGUGUAAAGGGUUGAUGGCACUGUCAGAAUAAGCAUCGGCUAACUUCGUGCCAGCAGCCGCGGUAAUACGAAGGAUGCAAGCGUUAUCCGGAAUUAUUGGGUUUAAGGGGUGCGUAGGCGGACUAAUAAGUCAGUGGUGAAAGCCUGCAGCUUAACUGCAGAAUUGCCAUUGAUACUGUUAGUCCUGAGUACAGUUGAGGUAGGCGGAAUGCGUCAUGUAGCGGUGAAAUGCUUAGAUAUGACACAGAACACCGAUUGCGAAGGCAGCUUGCUAAGCUGUAACUGACGCUGAGGCACGAAAGCGUGGGGAGCAAACA
rnacentral:rRNA from 1 species